UACAGAGGGUGCGAGCGUUGUUCGGAAUUAUUGGGCGUAAAGGGCGCGUAGGCGGCGCCACAAGUCACUUGUGAAAACUCUGGGCUCAACCCAGAGCCUGCAGGCGAAACUGUGGUGCUGGAGUAUGGGAGAGGUGCGUGGAAUUCCCGGUGUAGCGGUGAAAUGCGUAGAUAUCGGGGAGGAACACCAGUAGCGAAGGCGGCACUCUGGGCCGUGACUGACGCUGAGGAGCGAAAGCGUGGGUAGCAAACAGG
rnacentral:rRNA from 1 species